rnacentral:rRNA from 1 species
UACGGAGGGUGCGAGCGUUGUCCGGAAUCACUGGGCGUAAAGGGCGCGUAGGCGGCGCGGCUAGUCGGCGGUGAAAGCCCGGAGCUCAACUCCGGGUCGGCCGUCGAUACUUCCGGGCUUGAGCACUGUAGAGGCAGAUGGAAUUCCGGGUGUAGCGGUGGAAUGCGUAGAGAUCCGGAAGAACACCAGUGGCGAAGGCGGCUCACUGGCCCGAUACUGACGCUGAGGCACGAAAGCGUGGGGAGCAAACAGG